GGGAGAACUGUGCUGCUUUCCUGCCGCCUGUAGUCGCAGGGACCCUGACCGCCGGCGCUGGCUGCUGCUGAGCUUCUUCUGCAGGUAUGCUGCAUCCUUGGCAUAUGGAAACAGCUUAAAGCCCAAAAGGACUACAAGAGGGAUGCCGAGCUGCUCAUUUCUCCUGAACAGGCCAAUCGAUAUACAGAGUUACUGGGGAGGACACCCAGACAGGGACUCUCCACUCUUCUCACGGAAUUCAAUUGUCCAUUGAAACGUGAUUCUGCUUCUGAUGCCUGCAGUUUCACACAGCGGUUGGUGGAGAACACCCCCAGCUCCCCCCACACAACUCCCACCAGUGCUGAAACUGAUUACAGUAUUCAUUUAUGUCCAGCUGGGCUGUAGGUGCUAAUUUACAACUGUAGUUGUUAAUUUAACACUAUAGGUGUUCACUUAGUGCUGGACUGUGCACUUUGCUGCUUUGCAAUAACUCAACCUAAAAAAAACAUUAUUUGUAUUUGGUCAUAUUAAAGACAAUUCAAUGUAUCUACCACAAGGAAUUCACUCUCCUCAUGUGGCAGAAAGCCAUCAUUUGUUUCAUAUUGUAGAGUAGUGUCUGGCUCCAUGUUUUUAAGAACACAGAUUUCACAAUACAAUCAAAUACAAACCGAUAAAAUCAAUCACUGAGGGUAACUGCUAUUUUGACAUGUCAAAUGUUUUAUAAGAGAAUAUAGUGUUUAAUCUGCUUCAAAGUUUUACAGCUACAAAUUUGAUCAGAAUAUUUUAUUUACAAAAUAUAUUUACGAAAGUCAUUUUAGCAUUUAAGGAAACUCUGUUGAGUUUUGUUUCCAAGUUUUUCAAUAAGACAAAUAACUGAACAGCACAGUGAUUUAUCAGUCUACUCGUUCUUUAGUUGAGCUCAGUAACAUUGAGAUAAAUAACUUAUCAAUGUAGCUAUGUAUCAGUUUACUCAUACUUUAUUAAAACAUGGUUACAUUGAGAUGAAUAACUCAUCAUAACAGUGAUUUAUCGGUCUACUCACACUUUAGUAUAGCUCAAUAACACUAAUGUAAAUAACUUAGAAUGUGGCUGAGUAUUGCUGUGGAUUAUAGGUUGUGGGCCUGCAGUGAGAAUUUAUCCAUUUAAGUUUGGUGGCUGUAUGGCAAAAUAAACUGUAGUUCUUGACCAUGGCCAAAAUGAAUGGGAGUGAAUGAAAGAAAUGAGGAAUGAAAAAAUAAGUGAAUGAGAACAUGCAUUUUGGUGGCUGUCAGACAAAAGGAGAUUGGGGUUUGGUGAAAAUCCCACAUUUCCUUCGGGAUAAUUAAAUCUAUCUAACUAUCUAGCUAGAGAGGAAAAUAAAAUGACAAACAACACCUUUUUUAUACCAGGGAUCUGAACUAAAAUAGUAUAUCCAAAAGAGUAAAAGUGUAUUGGUUGUCCAGAAGUACAGUUCAGUACAGUAGAUGCACAUGCACUGUUUUACCCCAUUUAUUCCUAAUGGUAAAAUAACAGGUUUCAGUGAAGGCACAAGCCUAAUCACAACAAUAAUAAGAAUAUUAUGGUCUUUUUUGUUAAUAUUGUAUAUGUUUUAGCACACAUAACAAAUAGUACGGCUGCUACGUUAUGUCUUACUGUGUUCUCAAUCAAAAUACCAAACUAAUAAAAAUGGGUUGAUUGAUCGAUGUUAGUGUUAAUAAUAUCCAGUACAGAGUUUUAUUUGAUGCAUUUUUCUAGGUUUUGUUUUCAAUACAGUGAUGUGCUGAAUGAUGUGAAAUACUACGGAGAGAAAUAGUUUGGCAGAUGUCUGUGGUGACAGAAUAAUCCAAUUACAAAAAUGACAGUAAAGGUGUUGUUUUCAUUAAUAAGCCACUGCCAUUGAUUGUAGCAAAUAAAGAAUGCCUCGGGAGAGCCAACCAAUUUUGAAUGUCAACCACAUUGGCUUUGCCUGCCCGAGCUUUAUGAGAUAGUUUUAUGUUGUCUCAGAUGGUGCCUGUCUGGCCAUGGGUUUUUAUUAAAGCCUUGCUGUGCUGUUGCGGAUGGCCGUUAGUUCAUAAAAUGUGAGUUUGCUGAGCAGGAACUUGUGCUUUCGAACGUUUGCGUCAGGUGACAGACUGCGUGUCAGCUAGCUGUGUGUGAUGAAGUGCGUGGGGAAGGACAUUUGAGCAACGAUCUGUUGAAAAGCUCUGUUUUCAGGUGUUUCAAUGUUCUGGCCAAACGGCCCAGAGGCAGAGGCCGACCUGAACCCACCCCUCACUCAGUGAAAUGUACGCAGCUGGUUGAGAAGAACACAGCAUGUUCAGUUUGUUCAGAAUCUCGCACCGCUGUGUAGGCCAUAAUGCACUGGGGUAAAAACAAAAGAGCUCCUCUUAAGGAUAAAAAGUGAAAUAUGGGCAUACACAGCUAGAAAACAGCAGGCUUACUUUUUCAUACAAAAAAAAUAUAUAGGCAAUAAACAUGAUUUGUUGGUUUGCCAGAAACGGAUUAUGCCUAUUCUUGAACUAAAUAGCUGUGCCAAUAGUCACAGUUUUUUUUAGUCUGGGUUUUGAUUAAUCUAGGACCUAGACCUGUGCUUUUUACUCUCCAAUAAACAGUUAUGCAAACUGGAAAUAAACUUAGUUCUGGAUCCUUUCCAAUCAGUGCAGAAACUCCAUUCAGAAUGAUGUAUAAUCCAGCAGUCCAGGAAUAUUCUCUUAAAAAUAAAGCCCCACUUUUGGUUCCAUAAAGAACUGCAG